GGGAAGAUGACUGAGGGGUUGAAGGUAAUCGCUUGCUAAGCGGGAGUGAUGAGAGUCACCAUGGGUUCGAAUCCCAUUCUUCCCG
rnacentral:tRNA from 1 species